AGGAAGCGUCUGUAAGGUAAUAACACAAGACACUGAUAACUUUGAUGAAGAGAUCUAGUCUUUGGCAUCUGCCCGGU
rnacentral:rRNA from 1 species